rnacentral:rRNA from 1 species
UAACAACCUGGAAACAGAUGCUAAUAACCGGAUAACAACAGAUGAUGCCUAUCAACUGUUUAAAAGAUGGUUCUGCUAUCACUCUUUGGAUGGACCUGCGGUGCAUUAGCUAGUUGGUAGGGUAACGGCCUACCAAGGCGAUGAUGCAUAGCCGAGUUGAGAGACUGAUCGGCCACAUUGGGACUGAGACACGGCCCAAACUCCUACGGGAGGCAGCAGA